AUGCAUUGUCUCCAACUCUUUCGCAAAGUAACGUUUUCUUUAAAAAGUAACAGCAAGUGGGAGCAUGGAAGAUGGUGGCGUAGGAGGACGCUGGGCUCAUCUUGUCCCGCUGAUCGCUUAGAUUCCACCCACAUCUGCCUAAAUAACCCAGGAAACCGCCAGAAGACUAGCAGAACGGACUCUCUGGAGCCAAGCGUAGAGGAGAGGCCCACAAAAGAGGGGUGUGGAAGAAUAUACUACAGCAGAGGGAACAUGGCUGCCAAGGCAGCAGAAGACACUGAUGAUACCAGAAAAUGCAUUGACCAUAAAAAAAAAAAAUGUGCAUAUUCUGUAACUGAGAGCCAGGAUUGCCCAGGUGAUAAAGGCUUAAUUGUUCUUCGAGCAAGAAGUAGACACAGAAGCAGUGAAGGCAAAGAGAAAUAUCAGUAUGUGACACACUGCAGAGGAUCCAGAGUGUUUUGGGUAUACCGUAAUGUAUGAUGAUGGCAUCAGUCAUUAGACUGUGGAAACAUAACAAUAAACAGGGUCAAGAACAGAUGAAACCCAUGGGAUCUCCCGGCGUUCGUUCCAAACUCAGAAGAUCCAGACUGUGCUGUGAUGACAUGGCAUUUUCACUCUCUGGACCUCACUAAGCCUUUGUUUUGAAUAAUAAAUAUCUUUAACGUAUUGAUGUCAUUGUCAAGCUGUGAUACAUUUAUCUAUAGAAAUAAUCUGAGCAUGUUAACAUUAUUGUCUGGCAAUUAAGCAAAAUUCCAGGUAGAUUAAUGUUUAAUUUAA